rnacentral:rRNA from 1 species
ACGAACGCUGGCGGGCGUGCCUAAUACAUGCAAAGUCGAGCGAAUCAAUAGGAGCUUGCUCCUGUUGGUUAGCGGCGGAACGGGUGAGUAAACACGUGGGCAACCUGCCUGUAAGACUGGGAUAACACCGGGAAACCGGUGCUAAUUACCGGAUAAUCCUUUUCCUCUCAUGAGGGAAAAGCUGAAAUAAAUCGGUUUUCGGCUGACACUUACAGAUGGGCCCGCCGGCGCAUUAGCUAGUUGGUGAGGGGUAACGGCUCACCAAGGCGACGAUGCGUAGCCGGACCCUGAGAGGGUGAUCGGCCACACUGGGACUGAGGACACGGCCCAGACUCCUACGGGAGGCAGCAAGUAGGGGAAUCUUCCACAAUGGACGAAAGUCUGAUGGAGCAACGCCGCGUGAGCGAUGAAGGCCCUUCGGGUCGUAAAAGCUCUGUUGUUAGGGAAGAACAAGAAAGUACCGGAGUAACUGCCGGUACCUUGACGGUACCUAACCAGAAAAGCCACGUGCUAACUACGUUGCCAGCCAGCCGCGGGUAAUACGUAGGUGGCAAGCGUUGUCCGGGAAUUAUUGGGGCGUAAAGCGCGCGGCAGGCGGUCCUUUAAGUCUGAUGUGAAAGGCCCACGGCCUCAAACCGUGGAGGGUCAUAUGGAAACUGGGGGGACUUGAGUGCAAGAAAGAGGGAAAAGCGGAGAAUAAUUCCACGUUGUAGCGGUUGAAAUGCGUAGAGAUGUGGAGGAACAACCAGCGGCGAAGGCGGCUUUUCUGGUCUGUAAACUGACGCUUGAGGCGCGAAAAGCGUGGGGGGGCAAAACAGGAAUUUAGAUUACCCUGGUAGUCCACGCCCGGUAAACGAUGAGUGCUAAGUGUUAGGGGGUUUUCCCGCCCCCUUAGUGCUGCAGGCUAACGCAAUUAAGCACCUCCGCCUGGGGGAGUACGGGCCGCAAGGCUGAAACUCAAAGGAAUUUGACGGGGGCCCGCACAAGCGGGUGGAGCAUGUGGUUUAUAUUAAUUCGAAGCAACGCGAAGAACCUUACCAGGUUCUUGACAUCCCUCUGACACUCCUAGAGAUAGGAAUUUCCCCUUCGGGGGGACAGAGUGACAGGUGGGUGCAUGGUUGUCGUCAAGCUCGUGUUCGUGAGAUGUUGGGGUUAAGUCCCGCAAACGAGCGCAACCCUUGAUCUUAGUUGCCAAGCAUUUAGUUGGGCACUCUAAGGUGACUGCCGGUGACAAACCGGAGAAGGUGGGGAUGACCCGUCAAAUCAUCAUGCCCCUUAUGACCUGGGCUACACACGUGCUACAAUGGGAUGGUACAAAGGGCUGCAAGACCGCGAGGUUUAGCCAAUCCCAUAAAAACCAUUUCUCAGUUCGGAUUGCAAGGCUGCAAACUCGCCUGGCCAUGAAGCCGGAAAUCGCUAGUAAGUAAUCCGCGGAUCAGCAUGCCGCGGUGAAUACGUUUCCCGGGCCUUGUACACACCGCCCGUCAACACCACGAGGAGUUUGUAACACCCGAAGCCGGUGGGGUAACCGUAAGGAGCCAGCCGCCUAAGGUGGGGACAGGAUGAUUGGGGUG